CAGGCUUAACACAUGCAAGUCGAGGGGCAGCAUGGUCUUAGCUUGCUAAGGCCGAUGGCGACCGGCGCACGGGUGAGUAACGCGUAUCCAACCUGCCUUACACUCUUGGACAGCCUUCUGAAAGGGAGAUUAAUACAAGAUGUUAUCAUGAGUAAGCAUUUUCGCAUGAUUAAAGGUUUACCGGUGUAAGAUGGGGAUGCGUUCCAUUAGAUAGUAGGCGGGGUAACGGCCCACCUAGUCUUCGAUGGAUAGGGGUUCUGAGAGGAAGGUCCCCCACAUUGGAACUGAGACACGGUCCAAACUCCUACGGGAGGCAGCAGUGAGGAAUAUUGGUCAAUGGACGAGAGUCUGAACCAGCCAAGUAGCGUGAAGGAUGAAGGUUCUAUGGAUUGUAAACUUCUUUUAUACGGGAAUAAACGGAUCCACGUGUGGAUUUUUGCAUGUACCGUAUGAAUAAGGAUCGGCUAACUCCGUGCCAGCAGCCGCGGUAAUACGGAGGAUCCGAGCGUUAUCCGGAUUUAUUGGGUUUAAAGGGAGCGUAGAUGGGUUGUUAAGUCAGUUGUGAAAGUUUGCGGCUCAACCGUAAAAUUGCAAUUGAUACUGGCAGUCUUGAGUACAGUUGAGGUAGGCGGAAUUCGUGGUGUAGCGGUGAAAUGCUUAGAUAUCACGAAGAACUCCGAUUGCGAAAGGCAGCUUACUAGCCUGUAACUGACAUUGAUGCUCGAAAGUGUGGGUAUCAAACAGGAUUAGAUACCCUGGUAGUCCACACGGUAAACGAUGAAUACUCGCUGUAGGCGAUAUACAGUCUGCGGCCAAGCGAAAGCAUUAAGUAUUCCACCUGGGGAGUACGCCGGCAACGGUGAAACUCAAAGGAAUUGACGGGGGCCCGCACAAGCGGAGGAACAUGUGGUUUAAUUCGAUGAUACGCGAGGAACCUUACCCGGGCUUAAAUUGCAACCGAAUAUGGCGGAAACGCUAUAGCUAGCAAUAGCGGUUGUGAAGGUGCUGCAUGGUUGUCGUCAGCUCGUGCCGUGAGGUGUCGGCUUAAGUGCCAUAACGAGCGCAACCCUUGCCGAUAGUUACUAACAGGUCAUGCUGAGGACUCUGUCGGGACUGCCAUCGUAAGAUGUGAGGAAGGUGGGGAUGACGUCAAAUCAGCACGGCCCUUACGUCCGGGGCUACACACGUGUUACAAUGGGGGGUACAGAGGGCUGCUACCACGCAAGUGGAUGCCAAUCCCAAAAACCUCUCUCAGUCCGGAUUGAAGUCUGCAACCCGACUUCAUGAAGCUGGAUUCGCUAGUAAUCGCGCAUCAGCCACGGCGCGGUGAAUACGUUCCCGGGCCUUGUACACACCGCCCGUCAAGCCAUGGGAGCCGGGGGUACCUGAAGUGCGUAACCGCAAGGAGCGCCCUAGGGUAAAACUGGUGACUGGGG
rnacentral:rRNA from 1 species